rnacentral:rRNA from 1 species
UGGAUACAGCUUGCUGUGUCUUGAAAAGAUAAUUUGUAAUUUUUUUAAUUAGCGGCAAACGAGUUAGUAACACCUUGGUAAUCUACCUUUAAGCUUGGAAUAAUCUAGAGAAAUCUAGAGUAAUGCCAAAUAGUCUUAUUACCACAUAGAUAAUAAGUAAAGGACUUUAGUCCACUUGAAGAGGAGCCUAGGUCUGAUCAGCUAGUUGGUGAGGUAAUAGCUCACCAAGGCUAUGACCAGUAGGGGAGGUGAGAGCCUGACCCCCAACGACGGCACUGAGACACGGGCCGUACUCCUACGGGAGGCAGCAGUCGAGAAUAUUCCACAAUGGGCGAAAGCCUGAUGGAGCGACACCGCGUGCGGGAUGAAGGCCUUCGGGUUGUAAACCGCGGUAGCAGGGGAAGAAGUCAUUGACGGUACCCUGUGGAAAGAGGUCGGUAACUACGUGCCAGCACCGGCGGUAAUACGUAGACCUCGAGCGUUAUCCGGAUUUAUUGGGCGUAAAGCGUGUGUAGGGGGCACAGUAAGUCAACUGUUAAAUCUUGGAGCUCAACUCCAAGCCUGCAGUCGAAACUACUGAGCUAGAGGAUGUUAGAGGUGUGUGGAACACAUGGUGUAGGGGUGGAAUCCGUUGAUAUCAUGUGGAACACCAAAGGCGAAGGCAGCACACUGGGGCAUUCCUGACCCUGAGACACGAAAGCGUGGGGAGCGAAGAGGAUUAGAUACCCUCGUAGUCCACGCCGUAAACGAUGCCUGCUAGUUGUUUCGAGUAUCGACCCUCGGAGUGACGAAGCUAACGCGUUAAGCAGGCCGCCUGGGAAGUACGAGCGCAAGCUUAAAACUCAAAGGAAUAGACGGGGACUCGCACAAGCGGUGGAGCAUGAGGUUUAAUUCGAUAUCAAGCGAGGAACCUCACCAGGGCUUGAAGUAAGUGGAAAGCUUCUAGAAAUAGAGGCCCUCUUCGGACUGCUUAUUCAGGUGCUGCACGGUUGUCGUCAGCUCGUGUUGUGAAAUGUUCCCUUAAGUGGGGUAACGAGCGCAACCCUUGUCGUCUGUUAUAUGUGUCAGGCGAGACCGCCCGGCCCUAAGUUUAUAAAUUUAAUUUUAUAGAUUUAGGGCCGGGAGGAAGGUGGGGAUGACGUCAAAUCAGCGUGGCCUUUAUGCCCUGGGCUACACUCAUGCUACAAUGGCUAUGACAACGGGCUGCUAAGUCGUAAGACGGAGCUAAUCUCAUCAAACAUAGCCCUAGUUCGGAUUGGAGGCUGCAACUCGCCUCCAUGAAGCUGGAAUCGCUAGUAAUCGUGCAUCAGCAAUGGCGCGGUGAAUACGUUCUCGAGUCCUGUACUCACUGCCCGUCAAGUCAGGGGAGCCGGGAGUACCUGAAGUCCUACGUUCGUGGGAUAAGGGUAAGUUCGGUGACACGGACUAAGUCGUAACAAGGCACGU